rnacentral:rRNA from 1 species
UACGGAGGGAGCUAGCGUUGUUCGGAAUUACUGGGCGUAAAGCGCGCGCAGGCGGUCCUUUAAGUCAGGGGUGAAAGCCCAGAGCUCAACUCUGGAACUGCCUUUGAAACUAGAGGACUUGGGUACGGGAGAGGUGAGUGGAAUUCCGAGUGUAGAGGUGAAAUUCGUAGAUAUUCGGAAGAACACCAGUGGCGAAGGCGGCUCACUGGCCCGUUACCGACGCUCAGGCGCGACAGCGUGGGGAGCAAACAGGG